rnacentral:rRNA from 1 species
UGGGUAACCUGCCUCUUGCUCUGGGAUAACUCCGGGAAACCGGGGCUAAUACCGGAUAUUCAUUUCUGACCGCAUGGUUGGUUGUGGAAAGUUUUUCGGCGAGAGAUGGGCCCGCGGCCUAUCAGCUUGUUGGUGGGGUGAUGGCCUACCAAGGCGACGACGGGUAGCCGGCCUGAGAGGGCGACCGGCCACACUGGGACUGAGACACGGCCCAGACUCCUACGGGAGGCA